rnacentral:SRP_RNA from 1 species
GCCAGGUGUGGUGGUGCACGCCUGUAAUCCCAGCUACUUGGGAGGCUGAGGCAGGAGAAUUGCUUGAACCCAGGAGGCGGAGGUUGCAGUGAGCUGAGAUCAUGCCACUGGAAUCCAGCCUGGGCAACAGAGCAAGACUCCGUCUCAA